GACGUAGGUGGCGAACGUUAUCCGGAAUUAUUGGGCGUAAAGGGUGCGUAGAUGGCUUGAUAAGUUAGCAGUGGGAAAUCGAGGCUCAACCUCGUGGAAGCUGGUAAUACUGUCAGGCUCGAGUGCAGGAGAGGUUAGCGGAACUCCAUGUGGAGCGGUAAAAUGUGUAGAUAUAUGGAAGAACACCAAUAACGGCGAAGGCAGUUAACUAUUCUGUUACUGACAUUGAGGCACGAAAGCGUGGGGAGCAAAACGG
rnacentral:rRNA from 1 species